GUGCAACAUCUACAACUUUCAGCCAUGCUUAUUGCUAUGCAGACUAUAUAAAUUAAGUUGCACAUUUGAACUCCAAUAAGGCAUCUUGACUCUACGCUCACUGGAUAAAAUGUGCCUUUUUGCUACAGAAGACAUCACGGAAUUGUGGACUGUAUGCAAGUCAAGGCAGGAUACUCUGUCAGGCAAUUAUCACAGAGAAGAGAGGAGUUGCAGUAACUAGAAGUAAAGCAACCAAUGGCUCUCCUAUUGUGGGAACAGUCAGGUUGUAUGACUCGUCUACCUCAAAGCCGAGCUGCAGAGGAUGAACAGCAACAGAGUCAGACAUCUGCAGUUAGUAAGGGAACUCGCAGUUCAUGAGAUGAAAUGAGAGCA